CAAGCGUUGUCCGGAAUUAUUGGGCGUAAAGCGCGCGCAGGCGGUUAUUUAAGUUGGGCGUUUAAGCCCGGGGCUCAACCCCGGUUCGCAUCCGAAACUGGAUGACUUGAGUGUAGGAGAGGAAAGUGGAAUUCCACGUGUAGCGGUGAAAUGCGUAGAGAUGUGGAGGAACACCAGUGGCGAAGGCGACUUUCUGGCCUAUAACUGACGCUGAGGCGCGAAAGCGUGGGGAGCAAACAGG
rnacentral:rRNA from 1 species